rnacentral:lncRNA from 1 species
GAACUUCCCCUGCCAUCUGUACCCAGAAGACCUUCGCUACACAGCAUCUUGUCAGAGGCCACGGGAAGCCGAGGACCAGGGCGGUGGCCCCAGAUGGCUGACAGCUGGAGGAGCCAGGCCGCAGGAUGACAGAGGAUCUUUACAUCUAAUGGGCCACUCUCCAUGGCCCUGUCCUUGGCCAGCGUCUUGUAACACUGCAACUCCGGGCAAUGUUUCCUGACCGUGUAGCCAUUUUGGUGGAAUUGUCAGCAGAGCCUGAGGUACAAGGCUCUGCCGAUGCUGAAGAUGAAGAGCCAAUUGGGGAGAUGGCCACAGACUGUUAAGCCAUAGUUCCUUGCUCUCCUGUUCAUUUGUGCACAUGGGCUGUCAGCGACAGGGGGACUGGUGGCAGCUGAGGAAACACGUUCAGACAAAUGUUCAUCAGGGAGAGCAAAGCAAAACGGUCAGGGGGUGGAGAGAAGUGGCCAGGUGGAGCGGGAAGCAAGGGUGUGAACUGGUGAAACAGCUGCCCUUCCUCAAGCUCUGCCGUCAGCUUGAUACCUGAGAAAAUAAACGGAGGAAAUCUUA